AACCACUUGCGCAACAAAGCCUGGCGUUGCUCGAGGUCUGCGGAAAAGAUCUGCACGGGAAUAGCUCGCUCCGUCACUUGCGUUCCCAGAGGAUACCGCGCAAUCACGUAGCGACAGGCGAGGCCCUUGUCGCGAACCAUGUCCUUGCCCAAGAAUUCCUGUAUCCGUUUCGCACAGGUUAUUGCGCUGCUCUUCUGGCCAGCUUGUAUGUAUGCUGCUAGCGGCUUGCUCAUAUGUGUCUGCUCUGCAACGAGUUCGAGAAGCUCAGCAUCACUGAGCAGGCCGCCAUUACUGUCGAGCACAUCGAGCCAGAGGUUCGCAGUCUCGCCAACGGCAGCAUAGCAUUCGGCUAGGGUGCUGCCUUCUAAAAAACGCCCAAAGAUCUCACUCUGAAGCACCUUGAUCAGUUUCAGUUCGCCUCUUCUUUUCAGCUCAAAACCUUUGAUUUCGGCGAGACUCCCAUCGCGCUGGAAUACGGCGUAACGUUUCUUGAUGCUUUUCCCCUCCUCGCGACUGGCGGGGAGUACCAUCGCUCGAUAUGGUCCGUCUAUCUCGAAAAAGAUACUAAACUCGGAGCGCUGCUUGUAUGUUCCCUCGUCCGGUGACCACUCCUGGUAUUGAUGGUUCGUAUACUGUGCGGCGACUUUGGUGUUGAGAACGGUGCAGAGCAAAGAAAUGGAAAUCUCUCGACCACUGCGAGUAUGGAGUGUUAUGUCGUUCGGAAAGGUAGCUGGGAUCGCGCACCAUAUACCGUCAGUGUCGAGCUCAAGUGGCAAGCCGACGCGCUCGAUCCACUCGCGGGCGAGGCGAAUGAUACUCGCACCGGUCUGUGUGACAACACCCGCCAUUUCCAUGGAGUACCAGCGAGCAGCUCUGCGCAUGACGUAGCCGUAAAAGGAGUUCAGGAUACACUUGUGCGCGAGUUGCAUUGAAUCAUAGACGAUGCACAUGUUGCGCGCUUCGAUGGAGGCGCCGCCGCUUUCCGCCAGCGCUUUGCGCCACUGCUUGAGUAGCCGCUUGUAUUCGUAGCGACGGUCCCGAAACGCUCGCACGGUGUCUACGUAGAAGGGAUUCUCGCGCUGACAUAUCCAGGCUUCUCGCGUCUGAACGGUCGGUUCGAGGACUCUUUUGUGGACCUUCAUGCAGUACUCCCGUAGUCGUUUCCUGUACAUGGCCUCAGCGUCAUCAUCCGAAACUUUCUCUCCUUGCCGUCGACGGGCCCGUACGGUCGUCAGGACUGAGGCGCGGAUACUCUGCACCUCUCCAAUGGUUGCAGGAUAGCACUCUCCUCGCCAGACCCAGUGCAUCUUGCGGCGGCAGUCAGACGUGCCGUUAAAAUCACAGGCUGCGCAAGUUUCCCGCGUGACGCAAGCGUGCGGCUGCAACCGGUUCGUCAGGAUAAUAUUCGGGUACAUGGCGCCCACAUCCAGGUGGAGAAUCAGGGGGCGCUCCUGCAGCAGCGGCUGCUCGGCAAGGCGUUUGAGUCGUUCCGCGAGGUCUGCCCGCACAUUUUCAUAGUCCGUAAUUUCCUCCAGAUGCAAAUCCUGUUCACGCUCGAUUGCGAACUGAAGGAACUGGUCCAAGUUUUCUUGCAGCUCCCGAACAGCCGCUGUGUCAAUUCUGAAUGGGAUGGGAAGGUCUGCACGGUAGAUACCUGACUGCAGUGCCUCAACAUGUCCACCAAUGUAGGUCUCAUUGGCGAGCAAGCGGCUUUGAAACGUUCGUUCUGUCGCAUUGUUUUUGAACUUGUUUGGAGCUACGAUGUUUCUCCGAUGGGCCUCACACAUCAAGAGGCUUUCGCAGAGAGUGCCCGAGCCUUUUCGAAGAACAUCAUCCGGUCCAAAUGGCAAAAUGUUGCACAACGAAAAUAUGAAAGGUUGGACAUACUUCAUAUACAACUGAUAGGUGGCGACUGCAUCGGACACCGAGUAGGCAGCGAGUUCCUGAGGCCGUGUCCGCGCAGCUGUUAGCAUCUCCUCGGGGUCGAGUUCGUGCGGUUCGUAACCUAGCAAAGCCCUGGUCACUGCUUUGAGACCACGGGAGCCUUGCGGAAGGUAGCUAUCUCGAUUCACCCAAUGGAUGCAAUCCAUGUGGACUGCAGCGCGUCCGCGGCAUAAGCCUCUUGCUGCCGAGAACGACAUUCCGAUCUUGUCCAGAAUGUUGAUGCCUAGACGGCUAGCACGGACAUGCACGAAAAACCAAUCGAAGGCGUCUCCGUUGUACGUUACGUAGACCCGCGGUUGUGCGGCUCGCGCCUCGGCGAAAAAGCGCCGCAGUAGCGAUGCUUCAUCGGGUUCGUUGAAGACGACAAAGCUAGAUUCAAACUCAGGCUUCGGAGCGUAUGUAAACCCG
rnacentral:misc_RNA from 1 species